rfam:Salmo salar isolate Sally breed double haploid chromosome ssa10, whole genome shotgun sequence.
UACACCCAUGACUGUAAGUCACUUUGGAUAAAAGCGUCUGCUAAAAGUCACAUA